rnacentral:rRNA from 1 species
GACGAACGCUGGCGGCGUGCCUAAUACAUGCAAGUAGAACGCUGAAGCGAGGAGCUUGCUCUUCUUGGAUGAGUUGCGAACGGGUGAGUAACGCGUAGGUAACCUGCCUUGUAGCGGGGGAUAACUAUUGGAAACGAUAGCUAAUACCGCAUAACAAUGGAUGACCCAUGUCAUUUAUUUGAAAGGGGCAAAUGCUCCACUACAAGAUGGACCUGCGUUGUAUUAGCUAGUAGGUGAGGUAACGGCUCACCUAGGCGACGAUACAUAGCCGACCUGAGAGGGGGAGCGGCCACACUGGGACUGAGACCCGGCCCAGACUCCUACGGGAGGCAGCAGUAGGGAAUCUUCGGCAAUGGGGGCAACCCUGACCGAGCAACGCCGCGUGAGUGAAGAAGGUUUUCGGAUCGUAAAGCUCUGUUGUAAGUCAAGAACGAGUGUGAGAGUGGAAAGUUCACACUGUGACGGUAGCUUACCAGAAAGGGACGGCUAACUACGUG